CAAGCAGACGCAGUGAGCAAUAUGACCACCAUACUAUCUGAAUAAAAGUGCAAAACAUCAUCCUGAGUGAGGUAAACCAGACUCGGAAGGACAAACAUGCAUGUAAUACAACCCCAAACUCAAUCUCAUUCUAACAUGAGAUAUAACACUCUUGAUUAAAUGGGAAAAUUUCUCCACUGGUGCUGAGACACAACAUGUCUAUGCAACACAUUCAUGUAGUGCCUAUAUAGGCCAAAAGAGGGCAGCAGAUCCCCUGGAACUGGAGUAACAAAUGGUGGUAAGGGGCUAAAGAGGCAUUGGGAAUUGAACCACCUCAUCUGGAAGAGCAGCCAAUGUUACCUCUGAGUCAUCACUCCAAUUCACAAGUGUCCUUUCUUAUUUUUCCCUCCCUUGAGGCAUUUAUUCAGGUAAGGUCUCUCGCUGCACCAGAGCUUGUCAAAGGGAGGCCAUCAUGCCCCCCAGGCAUUUCUGACAUAGGUUCUGAAGAUCUGAACUCCAGCCCUCAUUUUUGCACAGCAAGCAUUUCAUCCAAUUAGACAUCUUCUCUAGCCCUAUUAAAGCUUUUUAUGUUUCCAUUUUGUUUAUAUUCACACAUAUAAAGGCUUUGUGGUUUGUUUUUGGUUUUUGUUUGUUUGUUUGUUUGUUUGUUUGUUUGUUGACAGUAUUGCUGUUAGGGAUUGAGUCUAUGUUCUUGUGUAUUCAAGGCAAUCACCCUAUCAUGGAGCUACAUCCACAGAUCAAGAAUUUUUAACACAAUAGCACACAUGUAAAUAUGCAUGGAAUGUUAUAUUUACUUAUAGACAUGUGUGACUUAACACUAAUGAUCACUGAUGUAAAAAAUGAAAAGAUGAAAAACUGUAAAAAACAAAAGUAACAGUUUUUAAGUUAGUCCACGGAUAGGCUUCAGGAAGCUUCAUGAAGUCUCCAUAUCAUGCACAAAUGUCUAUGGAUAUACAUUUUACCAAAGUAGUUUAGCUUUCAUCAGCUUCUCAAAGAUUAGUUUUAAAAAGGUGGUGAGGCGACACUCAAAUCUUAAUAUAACUAAGGCAAUAGUGAUGCCAUUUAUAAAACUUUAAAAGAAGCAAGAAAAGUGGCAUCAUUAUUAUGGAGAUAGCCAACAGUUUUCUGAUGGGAUCUAAGACUAGCUCCACAAGAAGGAAUAUUGCAACCGUGGUCAAAAGCUGAGGAGACUAGGAGGUUAUGAGCCCCAGUAGAAGGGCCCACUACUGUUACUUUGCUAAAGUCAUUCCAUCAUACUGCCUUCUAAAUAUUUAUGUUUAUACUCAUAGAUUAGUGCUGCUCCAACUAUGGUCAAAAAAAGAUUCUUUUUGCAGUGGGCAGCCAAUACAGAGACUCAUAUCUAGUCCAACUAGUGAGUAAUCUGUUCUAAAUAAGACUUCUGUAUGAAUCCCACAACACUUAGAAAACACCACAUUGACAGGGCCAAAAAAUGGAGGGAAGUGCUGCAAAUGCUGCCUUCUGGACAUGACAUGGUCACUGCAUUUACCAACUCACAGUCUACAAUAACCUGCAAAAAACUGCAGAGAAACAAGCCAGUGAAUAAUCCCAGCAUGGUUCAGGGAAGGGAUUCAUGAGGUUCCAUCCCUAGCAGUGGAGUUGUUGGCAACUGGUGACUACUAGAGGAGAGGAAGUCCAUUUUCUUCAUGGAUAUGGCUACAGGUAGGCUCCAUGCUUAUGCAAGCAAAGCAAAUUCUAUUCAGUGGGUUACAAAAGAAGGAAAAGAAAGAGGAGGAAGCUAAAAAUAGGUGCUGUGGAUAUCGUUCUGUAUGCUGUGAAUGUGUUGCUCUGAUUGAUUAAUAA